CAGUAGCCGCGGGAAUACGAAGGGGGCUAGCGUUGUUCGGAUUUACUGGGCGUAAAGCGCACGUAGGCGGACUUUUAAGUCAGGGGUGAAAUCCCGGGGCUCAACCCCGGAACUGCCUUUGAUACUGGAAGUCUUGAGUAUGGUAGAGGUGAGUGGAAUUCCGAGUGUAGAGGUGAAAUUCGUAGAUAUUCGGAGGAACACCAGUGUCGAAGGCGGCUCACUGGACCAUUACUGACGCUGAGGUGCGAGAGCGUGGGGAGCAAACAGGAUUAGAUACCCCAGUAGUCCCUGUCUCUUAUAC
rnacentral:rRNA from 1 species